GCCAAAUGAUGCGAAACAUAUUAUUGCUGAGAUUUUCUUUGAGGACUAACAAAAUCGAGCUUUUUAAAACUGAUGGAA
rnacentral:snoRNA from 1 species